ACUUUUUGUAAAUAGGGUUUUCUUCUGGAUUUCGAUUCGUUCUUCGUCUUUCUUCCGCUGGUGUUCGUCUUUCUUAUCUUCUCGAUUAAGUGUUUUCGAUUGAGGAAGUAGGGUUCUUUCUGUGUUUUCUCUGUAGUAAUCUUCGUCAUACCUUCUGUUAUCGUCUGCUUCUGCUCUUCUUCUUUCUUUUUUUCUCGAUUAACUUAGUAAGGUUUCCUUCACAUUAUUGGGUUUUCGUUCAUUCGAAACUCCAAUAAUCCAUUUUGGGGUUUCCUUCACAUUAUUGGGGUUUCGUAAGGUUGUGAUGUUGAUUUUUUUGUAUUUUCGUUCUUGACUUAGUUAUCGUUAAGAUUUGUUUAUCUGUGUUUCCGAUUUAGUUGUGUUUCCGAUUUGUUUCUCUGGCGUUCUUCGUUUUACCCCUCCCGUUUCCAUAUCCUCUAUCUUGUUUUAUCGUUUUUCGACUUCGUUGAAGUUUGUUUCCGAUGUAGUUGUGUCCAUAUCAUCCAUCUUCGGUUUCUCGUUGAAACACAGCAAUUUUCUCAGGGAAUAACGGUCUUGAGAAAAUUUUGAUGCUGCCACUGGAAAAUUUAACGGUUCUCAUCCUCCCGUUUUGUAUUAAUUUUUCCAAAAUAUGUUCUAUUUACCUUCUUAAAUUGAUUUUUUUUUCAAAAAGGACUGUCUUUAGUAAUGAAACUGAACUGCGUUUUUCUCAAUGUACUUCUUCCUCUUUGUUAUUGAAGCUAUUUAUUUUGUUAGCAGGACUCCUUCUGUUUCAGGUAUUUCAACAAAUUUUUUGUUCAUUCAACAACUGAUUUUUAUAAGUCGUACGAUUAAUUGAUGUCAUCUGAUUAAUUUAUAAGUCGUACGAUUAAAUGAUAUCUGAUCAUUUUCCAUAUUGAUGCUAACUCUAUUUGUCUUUUACUUCUACUGGUAAUCUGGUGUCAUAAUUUGUUGUUUCUUUUUUCAUUCAUUUUAAGUGUGCAGUUAUUCAAUUAUUUUUCCAACAACGGUCUGAAUGGCAUAUUUUGCACAUUCACAAUUUUCUUGCCUACAUGAUGAUGUUAGUAAGAAUUAUUAUUCUUAUGUAGGUAUGAAGGUGAACGCAUAACAAAGGCCCUUUCAAAGUUUGUCAACAGCGAGGGAUGUACUGUUUAAAUCAAUGUUCGGCUAUUGUCUUUAUCUAAUUAUUACAUUCUCAGAUAGAUGUAUGCUAAAUAGUUAAAAUAAAAAUCAACCUAUUCUCGUACUGUGUGUUUUUUGUAGUAACCACUUUAAUCAUCGAUACAGGUUGGUACUGAGAUUUUUCGAACUACACAGGGCUAUCGACUAAAACUGCGUUUAUCUAUAUUUGCUAUUAAUAUAAGUGAUUUUUACAGGUGCUUUCUACAGGUUGGUACUGAGAUUGUACAAAGAGCACUUGGUACUUUCAAUUUAAAUAUAGUUAUUUCUUUCUGUUGGUGUGUGGGUUCGUCGUCCAACCUAGUGCAAGAGUGACUCUCAGAAUUAUCAACCCCCUCCCCUGUUGGACCAGGGGAGGUAUUUAUAGUCUUGCGUCCCAGUGCUUGGGCUUCAUGGGCUCGCGCGCCGGGCCCGUCUGUUCACUCG
rnacentral:lncRNA from 1 species